rnacentral:rRNA from 1 species
AUUGAACGCUGGCGGCAGGCCUUACACAUGCAAGUCGAGCGAGAAAUUUUCUUCGGAAAAGAGUAAAGCGGCGGACGGGUGAGUAACGCGUAGGAAUCUACCUAGUAGUGGGGGACAACAUGUGGAAACGCAUGCUAAUACCGCAUACGCCCUAUGGGGGAAAGCAGGGGAUCUUCGGACCUUGUGCUAUUAGAUGAGCCUGCGUCGGAUUAGUUUGUUGGUAGGGUAAUGGCCUACCAAGACUACGAUCCGUAGCUGGUCUGAGAGGAUGAUCAGCCACACUGGGACUGAGACACGGCCCAGACUCCUACGGGAGGCAGCAGUGGGGAAUAUUGGACAAUGGGCGCAAGCCUGAUCCAGCCAUGCCGCGUGUGUGAAGAAGGCUCUAGGGUUGUAAAGCACUUUCAGUAGGGAGGAAAAGUUAGUAGUUAAUAACUGCUAGCCCUGACGUUACCUACAGAAGAAGCACCGGCAAACUCCGUGCCAGCAGCCGCGGUAAUACGGAGGGUGCGAGCGUUAAUCGGAAUUACUGGGCGUAAAGCGCGCGUAGGCGGUUUGAUAAGCUGGAUGUGAAAGCCCCGGGCUCAACCUGGGAACUGCAUCCAGAACUGUCUGACUAGAAUACAAUAGAGGUGAGUGGAAUUUCCUGUGUAGCGGUGAAAUGCGUAGAUAUAGGAAGGAACAUCAGUGGCGAAGGCGACUCACUGGAUUGAUAUGAC